ACGAUGCCUGAGAUCAGAGUCACGCCCUUGGGGGCCGGCCAGGACGUGGGCCGAAGCUGCAUCCUGGUCUCCAUUGCGGGCAAGAAUGUCAUGCUGGACUGUGGAAUGCACAUGGGCUUCAAUGACGACGUGAGUCCCUCGGGCAGGAGGCCCAGAGGCUGGGAGAGCCGGCCAUCCACAGCUGGACCCUGGGCCUCAGAGCCGGGACAGUGGGGCAGUGGGCAGCAGUGGUUGUGCUUGGACGGCUGCACCCUGUGGGGAGCAGGGAUGGGUGGGCCUGGCCGAGGCGAGCCCCUGCAUGGGAGGGUCCCCCUGUGCUGGCGCUGGGCCCCAGUCCCGGGGUCCUGUAGGCUGGGCUCAGUGAGACCUUGGGCUCAGCUUCCAGCUCACAUCUGUCAGUGAGGUUGGGGGUAACCUCGGCCCCUCCGGAUGCUGUGAGCAGUCAGGGGUCCUGGUGCCAUCUGUGGGGUGGGAGUGCCCAGCAUGAGUCUGCACAUAGAACCCCCCUUCCUGGGGGCCCCUCCCUGGGGCAUGGGUGGCCCCAGAUGCUGCCUGGAGACCACUGCGCAACCUGAAACCCCCACGUCCUUCCCAGCGACGCUUCCCUGACUUCUCCUACAUCACCCAGAAUGGCCGCCUGACAGACUUCCUGGACUGCGUGAUCAUUAGGUGGGUGCCGGUUGGGGGCCUUGAGGGUCCCAUGUCUGUGCCUGUGGGGCUUGGGCCCCCUUACUCGGUCUCGGCAGCGUUCGGCAAGGGGCCUGUGCCAUCCUUGAUCCUCAGGGGGCUUCUAGGCCCCAGGAUCUGCUCCCUGCCUGCCUUACUGGUCACACACAUGGCCUGGUCUCUGUCUGUUCUUCCGGCCCUGCCCUCUGAACCCUAUCCUCUGAACCCGGUCCUCCAGGCUUCACUCUCUCCGAUGCCUUCACUGUCUCAGGAUCUUUAAACCCCACUGUCUUGUUGGCGAUUCCAGAGUCCCGAGUCUGCCCUGAUCCCAGCCGUUAGGGUCCAGCAGCUCAUGACUCGCUGGUCUGGGUGGCCUCGUCUGGACGGCCACAGCACUCCUGCUGGGCCCCCUGCCCUUGCCUGCCCUGCCCUGUCCUCCUCAGCAGCCGGGCCCGUGAAGCCUGGAGAAGCCCCCUCUCCGGAGGCGGUGUCUUCAGCUGCCCCUGAGCCCCUCGUGGUUGUGGUUUCUCCUCAGACACAACCCCCCAGUGCCUUCUUGCGGCUUUGCCAGGCGCUGCCCUCGCCCUUGGGUCUGUGCCACCUUCACCUGCAGCUCCACUCAGCUUGUCUUGACUGCCUGAAAAGCUAGCGGCUCCCCCAUGCGCGGUUCCCUCAGCAGCUUUGCGCUGUCUCGCGAGCGUGUCGCCACGGUUCCUUCAACAGCUUUGCACUGUCUCGAGAGCAUGUCGCCGCGGUUCCCUUAGCAGCUUUGCAUUGUCGCCGUCACUGACGUGUUCAAUUUCCCGUUUGCUUAUUGCCUUGCUAGACUUUGAGACUGAAAGUUGCAGGGAGACAGUUCUAUGUUUGCUGAUUCCUGACUCUUUGGUACUUGGGAUGGGGCCUGGUGCACAGCAGGCGAAUGAAGGGGCCAGUGACCCACAAGCCCAGAGCUGGGGUGAAGGCUGGGGCAGGGUGGGCCCAGGCUGACCUGUGCUGCAUCCCCCUAGCCACUUCCACCUGGACCACUGCGGGGCACUCCCCUACUUCAGCGAGAUGGUGGGCUACGACGGGCCCAUCUACAUGACCCACCCCACCCAGGCCAUCUGCCCCAUCUUGCUGGAGGACUACCGCAAGAUCGCCGUGGACAAGAAGGGCGAGGCCAACUUCUUCACCUCCCAGAUGAUCAAAGACUGCAUGAAGAAGGUGGUGGCUGUCCACCUCCACCAGACGGUCCAGGUUAGGUUCCCAGAGCCACAGACGGCACAGUCACUGCCCACCCCCACACCAACCAUGCCCUCUGCCCAUUCUACACAGUCUCUGGAAGGCUGGGGCCUCAGGGUGAGCCCACCCCACCUCACUCUUGCAUCCAGCACUGUGGGGACACCAGGAGGCGGCAGCGCGAGGAUGUGGGUCCCAGACUGGACUGGGCGCCGACCUGCGAGAGCACUUGCACGGUGGGGGUGUCCCCCGGCCUACGAACCCACCUGGCUCUGUCCGAGCGGCAUUGAAAUGGCCAGAGUGGGACAGGCUGGUGCCCUCAGAGCGCUUGGAGCGGCCAGAGACUCGCUGGAGCUCCUGGGGUGUUGCCGGGCAGGGAGGCAGGGGCCGGAGGGGAGAUGGGCCAGCUCUGGAGGGUGCCUGGUUCUGGGUGUGGGUCAGGGAGGAAGUGAAAGUUAAAUCAGCGAGUGACAGGUGAAAUUCCCUUUCUGACAAAGAUUAUGGGUUUGUCUGUGUCUCGUUAGAGUCUGUGGGUGUUGCUUUUAUAUUUCUUGAAACUAUAUUAGGUACCUAUGUAUUUUGGAACACUUUAUCUUUCUGAUUGAACUUCUUGUCAAGGUG
rnacentral:sRNA from 1 species